GAUAAAAAAACCUAGCCCAUGAACACUUUCUCCCUACACCUCUCCCUCUACCAUAAAUACCUCAAAAUCCUAACCCAUUUUCUUUCUUUCCUCAUUCACCAAACCCUAAACCAUCCUAUUCUUUUUUACCCAUAUCCUAUUUCACUUCCCACCCAUAUUUUCUUCCUCUUUCACAACAAUUUUCUUUCACAUAAUUCAAUUUCCUCAUCUUCCACUUCCGCUAUUUCAAAAUCUUAAGAACUCAGGAACUCGAGAUGGCGCUGCUUGGACUUUCGAGGUAGAAAUCAAUAUCUUGGAAUGCCAAGAUUUGAUGUUAAUAUGUUUUCUUCUAAAUCAAGUUUUAAUAAGAAAAACUUUUACA